UUACUUCAGGAUUAUUAAUUAAAUCAAUCUCCAUCUGGCUCCAAAUUCCAUCUGAAGCUUUUCCUCUAUUCUCCUUCCGAGAGAAGGAGCAGAGAGAAGAGAAUCACUGUGUUCCUGUCGCCGGCAUUUCUCACAAGGAGACUACCUCCUUGCCGUCACCGAUGAAGUUCCACGGAAAGAUAUUCUCGGAAUCCAUUCUGAGCCAAGCGAUCCGAACAAGAUCUAUCGGGUGUUGAGGGUCAAAUCCUGGGAUAAAUCAAAGUAUGGUCAAAGAGCUAUUGAGAAGGCAGAGCAGAAGGAACGUACAAGCAUGGCUGGUGGAAAUGUAACCACUCCAGAAAACCUCAGUCAGUUUCUCCAAAGUUAAUGUAUGGGACCAUGUGACCCUGACAUCCCACUUCUCGGAAACCACCUGGAGAUGGAGAAGACAGAUGAUAUGCAGAUUGGAACAUGGAACAAGGAGUUGAAAAACAGAGACCGUACCUUGCAGACAAUGGAGAUGUCAAACGUCAACUAGAUCUUUAGUCACAAGGUUAGAGGUCAAAAUUAGAUUGAGUGAUGGAACAAGCCAAGUGUGAGGAGAAGUGGGAAAUGAAUAUGUGGCAUGGUCCUGAUCAGUUUUGCAUAUAAAAUUCCAAUUCCAAGAAUUCCAAGUCAUUGCAUAGCCCCAGAUUUUAUCAGCUUGGGGGAAGCAGAUCAUCUGGAGAUUCAGGGACUGGACAGAUGGAUCCGGCUGGAGUUUAAGCUCUCACACUAAGGUCUCCCUGUAGGACAUCAUCGCAUAUAUCUGUGCAGGUUGGGAACUGCAUAAUUCCAAUGGGUCCGACCACACCACAUCUAGUGACACCCCUGGAGUGCUGGGAUCAGUUGCGCAAUACUCCAUGGUCUCUGCAGCUGGAUUCCAAGAACAUGAGGAGGUCUGUUAAAGUUUUUUAGUGAU